AGUGAACGCUGGCGGUAGGCCUAACACAUGCAAGUCGAACGGCAGCACAGUAAGAGCUUGCUCUUACGGGUGGCGAGUGGCGGACGGGUGAGGAAUACAUCGGAAUCUACUUUUUCGUGGGGGAUAACGUAGGGAAACUUACGCUAAUACCGCAUACGACCUACGGGUGAAAGCAGGGGAUCUUCGGACCUUGCGCGAUUGAAUGAGCCGAUGUCGGAUUAGCUAGUUGGCGGGGUAAAGGCCCACCAAGGCGACGAUCCGUAGCUGGUCUGAGAGGAUGAUCGGCCACACUGGAGCUGAGACACGGUCCAGACUCCUGCGGGAGGCAGCAGUGGGGAAUAUUAGACAAUGGGCGCGAGCCUGAUCCAGCCAUACCGCGUGGGUGAAGAAGGCCUUCGGGUUGUAAAGCCCUUUUGUUGGGAAAGAAAAGCGGCAGGUUAAUACCCCGCUGUUCUGACGGUACCCAAAGAAUAAGCACCGGCUAACUUCGUG
rnacentral:rRNA from 1 species